UAUUCAAUAGAGCCAGAGAAUGGGAAGAUAUGUGGUAGAGCCACUCUACAAAGUUGACCGUGAGAAGGCAACACCUAGAACCCUUAUCAAGAUUGAAUUUAAUGCAGACCAGAUUGAAGAGUUAAUGGAGGCCUUCAUGCUGUUUGACAGGACUCCCACCGGUGAGAUGAAAAUCACCUAAGGCCAGUGUGGGGACGCCUUGCGGUCCCUGGGCCAGAAUUCAACCAAUGCAGAGGUCAUUAAAGUCCUGGGGAAACCCAAGCCUGAGGGUGUGUG